UUGAACGCUGGCGGCAUGCCUUACACAUGCAAGUCGAACGGCAGCAUGAUCUAGCUUGCUAGAUUGAUGGCGAGUGGCGAACGGGUGAGUAAUACAUCGGAACGUGCCCUGUAGUGGGGGAUAACUAGUCGAAAGAUUAGCUAAUACCGCAUACGACCUGAGGGUGAAAGUGGGGGACCGCAAGGCCUCAUGCUAUAGGAGCGGCCGAUGUCUGAUUAGCUAGUUGGUGAGGUAAAGGCUCACCAAGGCGACGAUCAGUAGCUGGUCUGAGAGGACGAUCAGCCACACUGGGACUGAGACACGGCCCAGACUCCUACGGGAGGCAGCAGUGGGGAAUUUUGGACAAUGGGCGAAAGCCUGAUCCAGCAAUGCCGCGUGUGUGAAGAAGGCCUUCGGGUUGUAAAGCACUUUUGUCCGGGAAGAAAUGGCUCUGGUUAAUACCUGGGGUCGAUGACGGUACCGGAAGAAUAAGGACCGGCUAACUACGUG
rnacentral:rRNA from 1 species